UACGUAGGUGGCGAGCGUUGUCCGGAUUUACUGGGCGUAAAGGGAGCGUAGGCGGACUUUUAAGUGAGAUGUGAAAUACUUGGGCUCAACUUGAGUGCUGCAUUUCAAACUGGAAGUCUAGAGUGCAGGAGAGGAGAAUGGAAUUCCUAGUGUAGCGGUGAAAUGCGUAGAGAUUAGGAAGAACACCAGUGGCGAAGGCGAUUCUCUGGACUGUAACUGACGCUGAGGCUCGAAAGCGUGGGGAGCAAACAGG
rnacentral:rRNA from 1 species